rnacentral:lncRNA from 1 species
GGGAUUGGUUCAAUCCGAAUCAAGAUGUUCGAUGGUGUCAUCAGAACUUUGGUUGAUGUUCGACAUGUUCCAGGUUUAAAAAGAAAUCUCAUCUUCCUGAGUACUCUUGAUCUCAAAGGGUACAAGUAUUCUGGUGAAGGUGGAGUUUUAAAGGUUUCCAAAGGUGUUUUGGUAGUAAUGAAAGCGGACCUUAAAUCUGCAAACCUGUAUCAUCUACAGGGUACUACAAUUACAG